AUCCUGACUCACUCUUAAUCUUCGUCCGCUAUUUAAAUGAGUUUAUGUAACAAAACUUACAUGGAUAAAAGAUUGAUGUAACAAUAAGGUAUGUGACAUGUAAAGAACUGAAGCAAGCUUAAUUUGGACGACGAUCUCGUCAGAUAUGAAGUCUUACUUCUACAACAAAGAUGGAAUCAAGAGAAAACUGAAAUCUAUUUUACAUCAGAAGAGUAAUUAAUGUGGUACAAACAGAACUUGCUAAAUUUUUCAUUAAACAAUGGAACUCUCGUUAUAAAUCAACAUAUGGAGAAUCGGAAGAUACACGCAACAGUGGUAAAAAAUUUUACAUUUUAGAAUCAAGAAGAAAGUUAGACCAAAAAACUCGACAAAAAUAUCAGGAUGGAGACACAAGUAAGUGGGACUGUACGAUAUUAUUUGAUGCAAUAAUUUUUUCAAAUUCAAUUGGAAAGCAUCUUGACAAAAAAACAAA